AAACUUUGCCUAUUUUGUGGCGAUUUAUAGUGGAUUCAAGCUUAAUCCCAACGGAUGCUCAACAGGGAUUAGGUGUUGGAAGCAGUCGCCGAACCUCAAGGCCUUUGGGCUGAAAAAUCUUGUGUUCUGAUCUUGUUAUUUUUUAUUUUAACUGUGUUUGAUUUACGAGUUCAAGGCACGAACAUAUUUUUGGGACCAACAGCUGGGAGAUGAUUAUGUUCACAGCUAGGAAAUGUUAUGCUUUUCUCUAACUAGGUAAAGGUGAAAGAAAACCAGGAGGAAAGGAAAGUUGUGUGCCGUCUGAUCAUGUAAUAGUAAAAUAUAUUAGCUCGUUUAUAAUUUUAACAUAAAGUCUAAAAGAAUAUAAAAAAUCCAAA
rnacentral:lncRNA from 1 species